CUACGGGGGGCUCCAGUGGGGAAUAUUGCACAAUGGGCGCAAGCCUGAUGCAGCAACGCCGCGUGAAGGAUGAAGGCCUUCGGGUCGUAAACUUCUGUCCUUGGGGAAGAAACAAAUGACGGUACCCAUGGAGGAAGCCCCGGCUAACUACGUGCCAGCAGCCGCGGUAAUACGUAGGGGGCAAGCGUUAUCCGGAAUUAUUGGGCGUAAAGAGUGCGUAGGUGGUUACCUAAGCGCAGGGUUUAAGGCAAUGGCUCAACUAUUGUUCGCCCUGUGAACUGGGCUACUUGAGUGCAGGAGAGGAAAGCGGAAUUCCUAGUGUAGCGGUGAAAUGCGUAGAUAUUAGGAGGAACACCAGUGGCGAAGGCGGCUUUCUGGACUGUUACUGACACUGAGGCACGAAAGCGUGGGGAGCAAACAGGAUUAGAUACCCCAGUAGUC
rnacentral:rRNA from 1 species